UCGUACUAAGCGGGGGGUUGGUGGUCCCUUGUUGCCCGAAACCCACCUUAGCGGGGCUGAAUUCCCUGUCUGAGGCUACUUAGGUUCGGUAUCGGUGCAUUCCGCAGCGUUGAAAACUGGGUCCUACGCAACAACUAUCUGCGAACCGGGUCAGGUCCGGAAGGAAGCAGCCCUAAGCAGACAAGUGUGUGCCGUGGGGGUGCCCGGUUGGAGCUGUCAGGGUGCAUGCGACCGGGUCUAAGUUAGUCGAAGCAGGGUGUACGG
rnacentral:SRP_RNA from 2 species